AACACAUGCAAGUCGAACGAUGAACCGCUUUCGGGCGGGGAUUAGUGGCGAACGGGUGAGUAACACGUGGGCAAUCUGCCCUGCACUCUGGGACAAGCCCUGGAAACGGGGUCUAAUACCGGAUACUCACUGCCUUGGGCAUCCUUGGCGGUGGAAAGCUCCGGCGGUGCAGGAUGAGCCCGCGGCCUAUCAGCUAGUUGGUGAGGUAAUGGCUCACCAAGGCGACGACGGGUAGCCGGCCUGAGAGGGCGACCG
rnacentral:rRNA from 1 species